GAUGAACGCUGGCGGCGUGCCUAAUACAUGCAAGUCGAGCGAACGGACGAGGAGCUUGCUUCGCUGAUGUUAGCGGAGGACGGGUGAGUAACACGUGGAUAACCUACCUAUAAGACUGGGAUAACUUCGGGAAACCGGAGCUAAUACCGGAUAAUCUUUUGAACCGCAUGGUUCAAAAGUGAAAGACGGUCUUGCUGUCACUUAUCGAGGGAUCCGCGCUGCAUUAGCUAGUUGGUAAGGUAACGGCUUACCAAGGCAACGAUGCAUAACCGACCUGAGAGGGUGAUCGGCCACACUGGAAGUGAGACACGGUCCAGACUCCUACGGGAGGCAGCAGUAGGGAAUCGGCCGCAAUGGGCGAAAGCAUGACGGAGCAACGGCGCGUGAGAGAUGAAGGUCUCCGGAUCGUAAAAAUGUGUUAUGAGUGAAGAACAUAUGUGGAAGUAACUGUGCACAGCGUGACGGUACCUAAUCAGAAAGCCACGGCUAACUACGUG
rnacentral:rRNA from 1 species